UGGGGAAUCUUGCGCAAUGGGCGAAAGCCUGACGCAGCGACGCCGCGUGAGUGAUGAAGGCCUUCGGGUUGUAAAGCUCUGUGGGGGGAGACGAAUAAGCGGGGGCCAAUACCCUUCGCGAUGACGGUACCUCCUUAGCAAGCACCGGCUAACUCUGUGCCAGCAGCCGCGGUAAGACAGAGGGUGCAAACGUUGUUCGGAAUUACUGGGCGUAAAGCGUGUGUAGGCGGCCGCGCAAGUCGGAUGUGAAAGCCCCGGGCUCAACCCGGGAAGCGCGCUCGAUACUGCGAGGCUCGAGUGUCGGAGAGGUUGGUGGAAUUCUCGGUGUAGAGGUGAAAUUCGUAGAUAUCGAGAGGAACACCGGCGGCGAAGGCGGCCAACUGGACGAACACUGACGCUGAGACACGAAAGCGUGGGGAGCAAACAGGAUUAGAUACCCUGGUGGUCCACGCCGUAAACGAUGGGUGCUAGGUGUCACGGGCAUUGACUCCUGUGGUGCCGAAGCCAACGCAUUAAGCACCCCGCCUGGGAAGUACGGCCGGCAAGGCUA
rnacentral:rRNA from 1 species